GUGGGGAAUCUUGCGCAAUGGGCGAAAGCCUGACGCAGCCAUGCCGCGUGAAUGAUGAAGGUCUUAGGAUUGUAAAAUUCUUUCACCGGGGACGAUAAUGACGGAACCCGGAGAAGAAGCUCCGGCUAACUUCGUGCCAGCAGCCGCGGUAAUACGAAGGGGGCUAGCGUUGCUCGGAAUUACUGGGCGUAAAGGGCGCGUAGGCGGACAGCUUAGUCAGAGGUGAAAGCCCAGGGCUCAACCUUGGAAUUGCCUUUGAUACUGGCUGUCUUGAGUUUGGGAGAGGUGAGUGGAACUCCGAGUGUAGAGGUGAAAUUCGUAGAUAUUCGGAAGAACACCAGUGGCGAAGGCGACUCACUGGCCCAAUACUGACGCUGAGGCGCGAAAGCGUGGGGAGCAAACAGGAUUAGAAACCCGAGUAGUCC
rnacentral:rRNA from 1 species